rnacentral:rRNA from 1 species
UACAGAGGGUGCGAGCGUUAAUCGGAAUUACUGGGCGUAAAGCGUGCGCAGGCGGUUUUGUAAGUCUGUCGUGAAAUCCCCGGGCUCAACCUGGGAAUUGCGAUGGAGACUGCAAGGCUAGAAUCUGGCAGAGGGGGGGUAGAAUUCCACGUGUAGCAGUGAAAUGCGUAGAGAUGUGGAGGAACACCGAUGGCGAAGGCAGCCCCCCUGGGUCAAGAUUGACGCUCAUGCACGAAAGCGUGGGGAGCAAACAGG